rnacentral:rRNA from 1 species
GACGAACGCUGGCGGCGUGCUUAACACAUGCAAGUCGAACGGAAAGGCCCUGCUUUUGUGGGGUGCUCGAGUGGCGAACGGGUGAGUAACACGUGAGUAACCUGCCCUUGACUUUGGGAUAACUUCAGGAAACUGGGGCUAAUACCGGAUAGGAGCUCCUGCUGCAUGGUGGGGGUUGGAAAGUUUCGGCGGUUGGGGAUGGACUCGCGGCUUAUCAGCUUGUUGGUGGGGUAGGGGCUUACCAAGGCUUUGGCGGGUAGCCGGCCUGAGAGGGUGACCGGCCACAUUGGGACUGAGGUACGGCCCAGACUCCUACGGGAGGCAGCAGUGGGGAAUAUUGCACAAUGGGCGGAAGCCUGAUGCAGCAACGCCGCGUGCGGGAUGACGGCCUUCGGGUUGUAAACCGCUUUCGCCUGUGACGAAGCGUGAGUGACGGUAAUGGGUAAAGAAGCACCGGCUAACUACGUG